rnacentral:lncRNA from 1 species
AUUAAAUAAUAAAAAUUCAGUUCUUGUUAUUGUGAAAUAAUAAAACAUCUCUAUUUUUUUUAUUUAUAAUAUACAAAACAAUUCACUAUUGUAACCUUCCAUUCAUAGUUGAUUUUAUAUAUUCAUAUGUUUUCAGAAACUAAUUACAAGAAACAGACUAUACAAGGAAAGUGCCAUUUCCUUCCAUGUGAGCAACAAAAAUAAACUGAGUCAUCUCUCUUUGAUAAAACACUUUUAAUGGAAAAUGCCUAUCUUUUCAGAAUUUAAAAAGGUUCAUACUUGAUUUAAAAUAGCCAACCAGUGAAAUUGCUGAGUGUUUUUAGACAGGUUAAGGUCAUCGUAUAUUCAUUAUUUAGAGAAAAUACAUAGGUAUUGGACUUGGAUUUUUUCCCCUGACAUAGCUACCUAAGCAGUAAAUCAGUUGUGCUGGAUUUUACAGUAUGUGGAAAGCAAUCGUUUUUGUCGUGCAGUUCUUAUGUUUAGCGUGUUCAACCACAGGUAUGAAACAUACAAUUUAAAUAAUUUUUUUCAUUUUUUAGUGCUCGAUAAAAUUAUGAGUAAUAUGAAUUCUUGCAUUGGAUAGUGCACUAGUAUCCGUCCAAUAUCUAAAUGGGCUAAAAUGAAAUAAUGAUCUAAAACCUCUCCUGCUUGUUUGGGGAUUUGUUUAUGAGAUAUUUAACCUGUUAACAAUAAAAAAAUAAAUUUUGAAAGUAUAUUUUAUAUUAUUUCCCGUGACUGAGGGAGAUAUGAAGAUUUGUUCACCAAAGAAAAAUCAUAUUUCACGAGGGCAUCGCCUGAGGGGAAUAUGAUUUUUUGAGACUGAACAGAUAUUCAUAUUUCCCUAAUCCAAGGGAAAUGAAUGUUUUAUUCGACUGCUUAUACUUAUGAACAUAAGAUAUUAAUUUACAUAAUUGUUUUCUUAUCCGUUUGUUUUUUAUAACUAAACAUAACAUAAACAAUGAUAAUCAGUACCGAUUGAAAGUUAAUAAUUUAUUCUUUUCUGUUUGUAUUUAGAUCUGAAAUAAUUUGUAAAAACGAAAUUACUGUACUAUCUUUUAAAAAACCGAUCGAAACGUUUUAAAACAAUUACCGCGGGUAACGUCGCACAAGGCAAUCAUGAAGUUCAGAGGGGAAUAUGAUCCUCAGAUGGGAAUUUGAAGUUUUGUUUGACGUCACUUGGGAAAGUUUCAACUAAUCAAAUGUUAAUUUCGCUAUCAAAUUCAACAUGCAGUGGCAUAAUAUAAGUUAUCUACGAGUACUGUUUACGUUCAUAUCCGUAGAUAUGGAUAUUUUAACGCACUAAAGAAUCCAAGUACACCCUGAGGCGAAGCCGAAAGGUGUACAGGGUACUGAAGUGUGAUAAAAUACCCUUAAUUAAGGAUAUGAACGUAGAUAACAAUUUAUUCCCGGUCUUAAUCCAAAUAUGCCGAUUUUUAAAAAAUUCUAGCACAAUGUGUAACGUGGAAGCAACGUUUUUUCUUUUUUUCAUUAAUUGAAAAAAAGUUUUAAUGAAAUAUCAAAAUUUGACAUAUUUUGUACGGGGUGUAAGGUACUUACUACUUUUAAUAUAACCCUACAGGUAGUCAAUUGUAAGAGGUUUUUAAUCGAGAGACAGAAAAACUGUAAUUAAUUAAAUAGUCAAUAUUUCGAGUGUUACGUCAUAGAUGGCGUGACGUCAACGUUGGUCAUUUGCAUAGCUAGGUCAGUAGUCCCGUUCAUUGACAACGUUGCAGCCAAAUGCCAAAGUCGCAAUGUGAAAUUACGCUCAAAAAUAAGAGAAAACAAACGACGCAACGUUAAAAUGUAACACACACAGAAACGAACAAUAAUAUAACAAUGGCCAUAUUCCUGACUUGGUACAGGACAUUUUUAAAGGAAAAAAUGGUGGGUUAAACCUGGUUUUGUGGCAUGCCAAAUCUCGCACUUUAAUGGCUAUGUUAAAUAUAACAUUGAAAUGACAACAUAAUAUUACUGGAUUACAAUACAAAUAAAUAGGAGAACCAAUUUAAUGGAUAACAAAAAACAUCAGGUUUAAAUUCAUUACGCCAAAAACGCGCCUCGUCCACAAGACUUACCAGUGACGCCCAGAUAUAAAAGAUCGAAAGUGAAAAAAAGUACAAAGUUGUAAAGCACUGAAGAUCAAAAGUUGAAAAAGGUUGUGUCAAAUACGGCUAUGUUUUUAUGCUUGGGAUAAGAACAUCCUUAUUAUUUAGAAAAGGCCAGCUUAUUUUUACUUUUAGACUUUUAAUAUACCUAAAACCAAAUAAUAGUUAAUAGCAUCUAAAAGUUCGAUUUUUGAAGGCGAUUUACUGUUAUUUAGAUGUUAUUUCAGUUCAGUGCGGUGUCUGUGAGCAAAAUGUUGCUUUUUACUUAAAUAUUUGUGCCAUGACAGCAUUUUUAUGUAAUACAAAGUUCUAUAUUUUAUCACUGUUAAUUGUUACAUGUAUUGGGGUAGGUUAUUCAAUAAUGGGGAUAAAACCUAUGUUUGUGUAUCUUCUUCAAAGUUCCAACUUGUUAGAGUGAUUCCUUCUAAUGCACAGAUCCCAAGUUAAUCUUGAUGCAAGACGUUUCUGCCACAUCGCAAGCUUUGGCAUUGUCGUUAUAGCCAUGGUUUUACCUUUGUUUAUCACAAGAAGGAGACAUUUAUUUGUUUCGUCAAGUAGAAGAGAAAAAUAAAUUUCAUUGUUGAGAGUUUGUGUCAUUAUGUAUUAACGUUCAUAAAAAGUAAAAUUUUUAAAAUAUUUUUUUUCUAUCAUGUAUUAGGCCAAUUAAAAUUAAUUGCUAGAUUUUCCCCGCCCGCCCUCUGAAAUCGUCCCGCCCCGAUUUUUUUUAUUUAACAAAAAAUACGAUUUCCGGAUUUUGUGCAGGUCCGUUACCGGGAACCGUCGAUAAUUUCAUUUCAUUCAAAACUUCCUGUUUCAAAUCGUUUUUGUAUUUCUUCGAGUAAUCUAACGAAAAUGCUUAAGUCGACAUAUUCUGCUGCUCUAUGAUGACAACAUCAUCAACCGAGAAUAUAGAUUGAUAACAAGAAGGGCAUGACAUAUUCGAGUUACGUGUAAAACGCCUUGUCCUUGGAACGCAAAUUGCGGUAGACACAAGUGAAUCGAAAACCGUGUUUUUUUCUUUAUUUAUAUGACUUUGUGUCAGGAAAUUGAGACUGUGAAUGAUAUCUAAAGCGCAAGAAUCGUAGAACAAUUGGUACAAAAAAACAUGACUGGAUUUUGACACAAGCACGAACUUGUUUGAUUUAUGACAAGUAUAUUGAGGGAAAAAAGUCGACAAAACCGCAUUUUAAUUAUAACAAGCCCUUAUAUUUACCCUGGCUGUUGUUUUUGUUGACAAACAGCAAACACCCUCUGUAACUGUCCCAAUACCCUCAAUUUAGUCAUUAAACACAAACUACUUUUUGGUCAAGUUCAUGUUUUACAUCAUAAUUACUUUCAACACUGAGUUUACAUUUUAUUCUGUACUCAUAAUACUUGUGUUGCAUACAAUGGUACCAAUACAUUUUAUUGAUUUUAUGGGGACUACAAACCAUUGCUUAGAUAGCAAAAUAAAUUUGGUGUAGGUAUAGUCCAACUGAAGAGAGCAUUUAUUUUAUUUUUGAUGUAUACUAUAGAUAGGUUUCUAAAGCGGCAAUUACAUGACCAUUGUAUAACAGUGGUUGGCUUGCCAAUCAGGGAUUUUUAUUUAAGAGUUUAAAAAAUAGUGUAGGAUUCCUUAUACAGCAUGUAUAUACAUUAUACAAGCUUGUUUUCCACUAGCAUAUACCCCGCGGUAUGAAGAACUCGUGACGAGGGUUUCAUAUGAAAUAAAAUUUUAAAAUAAAAAUCCUCCCACCCGCCCCAUUUUUUUCAAAAAUUUGGAUGAAAAUCUACUAAUUAAUUUUAGUUGGCCUUAAAGAUUUUAUUGAUAAGCAUUAUAUGUUAAGAAACAAAAUUACAUAUUCAGGUAUUCAGAUAGUGUAAUAAGGUUGAAAGAUUUAAGACAUAAUAAUAUGAACAUGAAACGAGAAAUCUAAGGAUGAUAUUUUACCAAUGUUUGUAUUUUUGCCAACCACUAGUCAUGAUAGUAGAGAGGAACUGUAAACAACAAAAAUUAUCAGCAAAAAGGAGAAUUUAGUCAUGAAUUAUAUUAUUCUAGUCUAUAAUGUUGUGGAGAAUGGCCAUUGUUGAAGAUGUAUAUAGAUUCAGGCGAGAGAACAUUGGAAGCUUUAUUUUCAAAGAGACAGUUGUAAUUGUCUCUUAAUGCAAUUUAUCUCAGCAGUAAAUAACCCACAUCCUUUAGGCUUCACAGAAAGAUUUUUCACUUUUUGACUUUUGCGCUUGCAAUGUAGGGGAUUUUGUUUUGUCCAAUCAGUCCAUACUUGGGUACUUGGUAACUAAUUCAGCAUAAUGUUUUGAUAAUGCCAUCCUUACAAAAAUCUUUGUUUGAUGUUGCUUUCCCUUGCCUUGUAGGGUUGAGUAUGUAAGUAGGGAUUUUAUUAGUCCCUAUCGACGGAGUCGAAGGGGAAUACAGGUUUGCACUCCGUCUCUGCUCUGAGUGUAUGUCAAUACAUCAGUCAGGGAAAUUUGUGAGUUAUGUUCCUUGAACUUAAACAUUUCAAACAAGUAUUCAGUUUUUCACAUUUUUUUUUCAUCAUGCUUCACUUGAAGAUAGUAAUUUGAUAUUUGAUAUAUAGCUUUACACUGACAAAGAACAGCUUAAGUUAGAAUUUUGUUGGAUUAAAAUGGUUAUUUUGCAUUUAUGGUCCUCGGACUUACCAAAUUCAAGCAAGUUGUCAACACUUUUUUUCGUCAUGCUGGAAGAUAUUGAUUUGAUAAUUGUUGUAUAGUUAAAACCACCAAGUCAGGAGCCUGUAAAUCAGUGGUUGUCGUUUGUUGCUGUGUUACAUAAUAUUUGCUUUUCGUUAUUUUUUUUGUGUACUUAAAUUAGCCCUUUGGUUUUCUCGUUUGAAUUGUUUUAAAUAAAAAAAAAGUUAUUUUGGGGUCUUUUAUAGAUGACUAUGUGGUAUGGAGUUUGCUCAUUGUUGAAAGCCGUACGGUGACCUAUUGUUGUUUACUUCUGUGUCAUUUGGUCCCUUGUGAAGAGUUGUCUCAUUGGCAAUCACACCACAACUUUUUUUUAUAGAGACUAGUAUUUUGUUUUAGUAAAAUGAAUUUUUAACCGGUAGGGGGACUGUGUUUUGCUAUCCUCUCAAAAUGCGUGGUUUUGUUGUUGUUGUUUUUUUGGGGGGGAGAGGGGCAACAUCAUAAGUACAUGUUUUAGACAAGAAAACGACGUAAGCAUGGUAAGAGUCGAAAAGAUAAAGAUUGAAACGAUUUGUGUUAUAAAAUAUUUCUGGUAGGCUGCUUCUUCAUGCUUUUAAGUGGGUAGGUAGGCAACAUAAAACAAUUAUAUUUUAUUGUUGGCCUAAAUGGUACCAUUUUGUUGUAACAAUUGAGUCCUCCUGGUCUUGCAGUUUUAAUAAUCCAAGAUCCUAGAUUUUUCAUAGGUAGAUUUUAUAUUGAAUUAUUAAUACACCUAUUCAUCUGUUCCGCCAUGUUCAUGUUAAGUGUACAUUCUACAUUGUGUAAGAAAUAUUCUGUGCAACCAGUCAUUUGGAGUCAAUGGUCCAUUUUGAUAAAUUAGUCUUACUAUUGUACAUGUUGUAUAAGAAACAUUAUAUAGUAUAAGUUUUUAUGAACAUUUAAGUGUACAAGGAAACUUAGUUUAUUUUUAUAUCAAGUAAAUUUGAACAACACGAACAAGGAAGUGUCCUGAAAGAAGGAUAUAUAUAAGAUUACAGCUUGAUAAAUACGAUUUUCAAAGAUCAUAGUUUUUCACAUGUUUAAAGGAAAUGACCCUUGAAAUAGUUAAAGUAAAAUGCACUUGAAACACAAAGAUAUAUUAAGUUAAUGUGGAAGGAAGUUUUUGUAGUAAACAUCCUAAUUUAUUUUAUUUGUAACAUGUUUUUACUAAAUGACAUUUAGUAUAUUUUUUAUGAAAUCAAGUUUCUUUUCAAUAAAUAAAUGAAAAGGAUAGAUAAAGAUAAACACAUUUAUGGAUUUAUGAAAUAAAUAAACAGAUUAGAAUUUUUGACAUGUUUUAAUACUGCAAACCAUGAUUACCGUGGAAUAAUGCUCCGUCAACAUCACAUCCAGAUUCUACCAUCCCACCAUUACAAACUUUCAUUCAUUGCUCCGCAGGAUUAGGAUCCCUCUGCAGAUUCCAGAUCGGGAUACCCGGCAUGAUAGCAAUGAAAAAUACUGUAACCAAAUCACCUGAAAAAAUGGAUGCAUUUAAUUUUCCUUUAUUUAUUGUAUUGAGCAAAUCUUUAAAUCUCAUUCGUGACUAUUUCAAAUAUGUGUAUACUUUAUGGUUCAAAUGAAUUAAGGUGAGAUGAAACAAAUUUCUUAAAAUUUUUAUAUGUUUAUAGAAUUUCUUUAACCAACGCAUGCACAUAUACUAAACUAAGUUCUUUUUGCACAUUUCUUAUAUUCAAUACAAUGUAUAACACAAUUGAGAAUGGAAAUGGGGAAUAUGCCAAAGAGACAACAACCCGACCAAAGAGCAGACAACAGCCGAAAGCCAACAAUCGGUUUUCAACGCAGCGAGAAAAUCCCGCAUCCGGAGGUGGUCAUCAGCUGGCCCCUACAUAAAAUUGUGUACUAGUUCAGUGAAAAUGGACGUCACAGUAAACUCCAAAACAUAUAAAUGAACUAAAAUUAAAAAGCAUACAAGACUAACAAAAGGCAAGAGGCUCCUGACUUGGGACAGGCGCAAAAAAUUUAGGUUAAACAUGUUUUGUGAGAUCUCAACCCUUCCCCUAUACCUCUAGCCAAUGUAGAAUUAAGAAACAUAGCAAUACGCACAGCAAAACUCAGUUCAAAAGAAGUCCGAGUCCGAUGUCAGAAUAGGUAACAAAAGAAACUAAGCAAAAUGACAAUGAUACAUAAAUGAACAAAGGACUACUAGCAGUUACUAACAUGCCAGCUAUAGACCUCAAUUACUAGUAUACUGAUAUGAAAAUCAAGUACAAUCUUCCCGUAAGGGUUUAGUAUCAUACCAUCAUAAAAUAUAUGAGCAGAACAUAAGCCGUAUUAUGUAUUAUUAACUAAUAAUAUGUUAUUCAGUGAUUGUUGAUCGCUAACUAAAUUUAAACUUUCAAGUUUGUUGCCGAAGUUUACAUGUGACAUUGAUCAGCAAUAAACACAGAGCACGUGGAGUACGUGAUAAAUAGGUGAAAUGUUAAGAGUCAUACUAAUUUUUUUAUAUAUCAUCCACGCGUUCCCAUUUGUUAAUAAAACUUUUCCUUAACAGUUGAUACAAUGUAAAUGAUGGGUGUAUGAAAUUUGCACGUGUGUUUACAUUCUUUCAUCACGGUGUUCCCCUCGCAUUUGCGCUGUUCUGUGCCGAAAGGUCUCGUAGUAGUACGGUGACCGAGUAAGGAAAAAUCGCUUAUUUAAGGAGUUUAAUCGUCAUUCGGACUAUACGGCUAAAAAUCACAGUAUUGGUAGUUCAAAUGUUAAACUUAUCAUUUUGACUUGUCAAAAAAUCGUACGGUGCACUUUUGUAAAAUGGGCGUUGAAGUACGUUUGUUUAUUUGAAAGGAAAAAUCGAAUUUGAAAAGUUUUGAGGUCUAUAUGGUAAUAGAACAUUCGUAAUAUGAUUCCUGUUAUUACAUACAUUGUUGUUACACCUUGAUUUAACGAUUUCAAAUAAAGUUUAGUAAAAUUAAUCCGUUAAUAAAGGGUUUUUGUAAAAGUUUAACACUACAAAUAUUUUGCAUUUAAUAGAGUACAUUUCAAUUCAAUUUCAUCACUUGUUUUUACACAAAGUGUUAAAAAAGCAACAUUUAUAUGAUAUUUCAUACCUUUAUCAAUCAAUAAUAUCAAACUAAUUUAUCUCAGAAGCAUUAUGUCAGCCAUUCAACCCAGACACAAGUCAUAAGGCUCAUAUGACGGAGCUAUUCGAAGCUCAUACACAGCCUCAUAUAGAUACAUAUAAACAAUGGGGUUGUGCUGUAUUACUGACAUUUAUAUACUGAGAUAUUUUCCUUAGAGCAGCAGACAUUUUGCUGUUUAAAAGAACAUUAUAAAAGCAUCAAGGGGAUCAGGUGGCACUGUAGGCAUAACAAAUUAAAAGUCUGUGCUUAUUAGAUAGACCCUUUCUAGACAUUUCAUAGAAUUCUUUGGUAAUUAAAUACUGGAAAUGGGUGGAAUUACUGCAAAAAAUGCAAAUUCACACGAGGAAACAAAACAAACAGCAAUGAAAUUAGAUGAAAAACAUGUUAUUGUCAUUGUGAACCAUCUAAAUGAACCAUGACUUAUCCCUUUGAUAUGGAAUCCCAUCCUUAAUGUCUUAUUAAUAUCUCUUCUGGAAUUCAUGUUACAAGAGAUAUUCAAGAUUCUUUGCUCACCACUGUCGACGAAUGCUUGAAUAUGUCUAGACUUUUCAUCACUUGUUCUCUUUCUUUAGUCAAACAGUUUAUAUAGUCCUAUAUCAAAGUCAAAACUAAUAACGUUUGAAAACAUGACCACAAAAACAAACCUUAAAUGUAAAUUGGGGGAAAUAAUUAAAUCAAAUAGUUCAAAAACUUUUAUUAAGAUGGGCAUUGCUUUUGGCAAACUGUAAAGAUGAUGUUAUAAUAGAACAUGUAUUGUCGCAACCUGUAGGUCCCCUUCCAAUUUCCCUUUGUUAUGAUGACGGCACCACGAGAAAAUCAUGAAAGUCUGAUUUGGUGAAGCAAUUAGAAUCUUAAGUCUAUUGUGCAUUUUCCCUACCUUCCAUUGUACCAUCACUCAGAUAUGGUAUGGCAUUAGUUCAAUGUAUUGAUGUUAAUAAAAGCAGAACAUUCGGUGGUCUUGCAGCUGAUUAUUAAACAAAUAUGUCUCAAUGCUUUUUUGUAGCGCACACAGUAGCAGAUGUUUUUGACCGCUACACCAUGAACAACUCUAUAAAGUCUGCUUAAAGGAAACGCAGACCGCACAAAGACUACAGCUUCCAUUAAAGUGUAUCAGAUUAUUGAAGGGAGAAGUAUUCCUGAAUGGAAGAAGUUUCUUUCUGUUACAGAAAACAAACAGGCACUCCUUAAUUACUUUGGUGGUUUUAUUCUUCAAAACUUCAAUCCCCUAUGAUUCCACCUGAUUGUGAGCUUUACUUACAAAUGUAGCCGGAAUAUUGUAAAUCCCGAAAUUGUGAAAGUUAUGUAUACCAACACUGUUAAUGACUGUCGUCACUUGUUUAGCACUCAAGAUGAGGCCGAUAUUCGUAUGAUUCUCCAUGCCUCAAACUUUAACACGAAGAUAAGAGAAAUGGGAAAAGCAAAAUUAUGCGGACCUCUGUGAAUAGUACAAACAUAUGUCACAUACUAGCGAGUUGUGGGUGCAGAUAGGGAACAUAAGCAUUGUAAAGGAAGGGCGAAGCUUGUUACUCAUUCACCAACUAUGUGCCUGUCUUUCAUCAACAAUUUGCCUUCUAUAAAUGCAUUUACCGGAUGCGACAUUACUCCGACUGUGUUUGGAGUAGGUAAAAAAAACUUACUACAAGACUUUGAAGGACAGUGGUUUGCAGAGCUUCGGUAAUAUUGACAAAGUUGAAGCCCUUGUUUGGGCAUAAACAUUAAUUUCAAAGCUUUAUGAGCAGAAAAAUCUCUUUAAAUCAUUCCAUCAUGAUAUAUUUAUUUAAACAAUGCACGUCAAGCUUGCCACCAGUAAAGAUGUAAGUUUAGUUAACCUCUCUGUAAAGCGGCACUGAAACAGUAUAUUUUAUGUGUUUCGUUUCAAACAUUGCUAAACCCCUACCCCGUCAUCUUCAGUAUACUGUUGGCGAGAGUUAAAUGAUUCAUUAAACUCCGUGUAUUUCAAAGGGCAUAUGUCAGCAGAAAUCUUGCAGGAGCUUGUGUAUUCAUGUAAGGGAAAAUCUUCAUGUAAAAAGUUAUGUGUUUGUUCACAAUAAAACUUUGUAUGUUUGGAGCAUUGCUUCUAUUAAAGGUCAGAAUUAUGUUCCUUGACAGAUGAACCAGAAGAUACUCCUGGCUUAAUUCUGCUGUGUGGAUCUCUUGGAUUGAAUUUUUAAUUGUAACUAUUUUUGAGGUUUGAGUGGUUUUGAGUUUUUGUUAAUUACAUGAAUGAUCUUUUGCAAAAUACGCUUUCAUGAUAAUAGGCUUCAGGUAAAAAUAAUAUUUAUCAUGUAUCGCUGAGGUUGAAUGUCAGCCGGUGAGGUAACUACUGUAACUGAAACAGAAUAUUUGUUGAUUUAGUAUAAAAGAACAAGUGUUUGAAAAACGCCAAUUUUUAGAAUGAAUCGUUAAUAAUAAUUUUUUUACAUUUUUCAAGAGCAUUCAUUGCUAAUUGAUUUGAAAAAAUGUCUUUAUCUGAAAUUUAACCUAAAUUGUUGCAAAUAUGUGAAAAUAUUGAAAAUAUGGAAGAAAAAAAUAAUAACAGACUUUGAUCUUUGACCUUAAUUUAUGCAAAACUGUUACCACAUUUCUUUUUGACGACAUCAAUAUUUCAAAAGUACUCAUUUUUCCGAAUCCAAUGAUAUAUAAUAUAGCCAUAUAGUAUGUUUGACGAUUAAAUCUAAAAAAGAUUGUGUCUGGUCACCGUACUAUAGUUACAGUUUAAUAGUUUCAGGUAUAUAAAACAUAUUCAACCUUUUUUUUUAAAUUGGAAGUUUCAUAUGACUUUACAAAAUACAAAAGUAACUGUAUCGUAUAAUGAUAUUAAUUAAAUCUCACAUGCAACGUUUUUUGUUACGAAUUUUUGCUUAAAUUCUUAUUUAUUCUGCAUGUUCUGAUAGACUUUGUUAUUACAAUGUUUUACAAUUUUUCACUAAAGUAUACGUAUUUCUAAUAAUCCAAAUCUUUUUUGCUUUUUUAAUUAGAAGCAAACUAUUGGAAUUUAAAGGAAAAUAACUUUGCGGAAGUAAAUAUUUUGUGUUUUCCUCAACGGGAUUCGAACUCAUGCUAUUGUGACAACUCCGCAUGCACUGUGUCCAGCGCUCUACACCACUCGGCCACCUAGUCUGAACUAAAAUAUGCAGCUUUCGGUGGCCCAGUGUUACUUUUCCUCGUCAGUAGAAUACUAAAAAUCGCGAAUAUUUAGCUUAAGAAUUAUAAGGAUUAAACACAUUUUUUUAAGAGGUUAUUGAUGUGUGAAUCGGGGCUCUUACUCACAAACUUUACAUAAAAGUCGGACUUUUAUUCAGUUUGUGAGUAAGAGCCCCGGUUUACACAUCAAUAACCUCUAGAAAAAAUGUGUUUAAUCCUAUAAUAAUUCCUUAAUAUAACUUAACAUGCAGACAUCUUAUACGUUCAGGUAUUUCACAUCCAACCUAUUAUGGUAAUAUUCUUUACAAAGCACAAAAAUGUCAGUAUUCACAUCCAAAGCUUACAAAACCUUUAAACAGACGUAUUAAGAAGGGAUAUAGUUACGAUACUGUCAUGACUGUUGUCAGGUCUUUAAAGAUUGCAUAUUUUGGCUUUAAUAUUGAUUCAUUUAUAGGGUCUUUGCAUCGGAACUAAACACAUUUAUUUUAAAAAAAACAGUUGUUGACAUGACACGGGUUAUGUUCUUCUCAUAUAUUUUAUGAUAGUAUGAUACUAAACCCCUAACAGGAGGGAUUGUGCCUGAUAUUCAUAUGAUGAAGACAUAAUCUUUCAAUCAGUUUAAUUGAGGUCUGGAGCUGGCAUGUCAGUUAACUGCUAGUGGUCUGUUGAAAUUUAUGUAUUAUUGUCAUUUUGUUUAUUUUCUUUUGUUACAUUUUCUGACAUCGGACUCUGACUUCUCUUAAACUGAACUUUAAUGUGCGUAUUGUUAUGCGUUUACGUUUCUACAUUGGCUAGAGGUAUAAGGGGAGGUUUGAGAUCUCAUAAACAUGUUUAACCCCACCGCAAUUUUGCGCCUGUCCCAAGUCAGGAGCCUCUGACCUUUGUAAGUAUGAUAUGAUUUUUAAUUUUAGUUUCCUGUGUAUAAUUCGGAGUUUAGUAUGACGUCCAUUGUCACUGAACUAGUAUACAUAUUUUUUUAAGGGCCAGCUGAAGAACGCCUCUGGGUGCGGGAGUUUCUCGCUACAUUGAAGACCCAUUGAUGGCCUUCGGCUGUUGUCUGCUCUAUGGUCGGGUUGUUGUCACUUUGACACAUUCCUAAUUUCCCUUUCUCAAUUUUAUCCUUUGAAGUUAACAUAUUAUGCAUGUCAAUUUGAUAUGAAUUUUAGCGUUACUCCCUGAUCAAAUAUUGAUAUGGAUCCCAUUUUCUGACAGUCAGUGAGUUACAUUGUAGUCUGACAGCACACCAAAAAAAUAGUUGUACAGUGCUGCCAGUGCAUUUUAGUUGCAAGCCAAGUCAAUAUCAAUUUCUUUCUAUGAUCUUAAAAGUCAUAUGAAACAACAUGAACAAGCUUCUUGAAACUUUAAUGCUAGUGAAAUUAUUGAACAUGCAUGCAUAUAUACUAAACUUAGUCUCACUUAGUUUUUAAAAACAAAUGUUUCAGACCUUUUUUGUAAUGUUCAUUUCUAUAAAAACUUGAACAUGUUGUAAAACAUAAACAAGUUCGUUUUGAUUGUAAUCAUGAUAAUCAUGAUAAUGAAUUGUCUGAAUUUAUUGAAUUGCUUUAAUGAAAGUAUAACCAUCAAAUUUAGAGGCCAAGGACAUGUACAUGUAUAUAAAUACACUCAUUAACAUAUUUAAUGCAUCUGUUUAUUAUUAUUAUUGUAUUUAAUUAACAGGUAAUCCAACUUUUCUUAACCAAGCACCAGUGAGUCCUUGUUCAGGUAAAGAAGUUACAACCAACUUUGUAUAUGGUGAUUCUGCAGUGAAAUUUAUCAACUUGACAGUAAUUAACUGGACAGUAAGAAAGACCAAACAAGAUAAGGCAGAAAUCUUUAGCUACUAUAAUAAAGCAGCAGGAUUCAAG